AGUGUAGGCGGCUACGUAAGUCGGAUGUGAAAUCCCCGGGCUCAACCUGGGAAUUGCAUUCGAUACUGCGUAGCUAGAGUUUGAUAGAGGUAAGUGGAAUUCCGGGUGUAGCGGUGAAAUGCGUAGAUAUCCGGAGGAACAUCAGUGGCGAAGGCGGCUUACUGGAUCAAAACUGACGCUGAGGCUCGAAAGCGUGGGGAGCAAACAGGAUUAGAUACCCUGGUAGUCC
rnacentral:rRNA from 1 species